rnacentral:misc_RNA from 1 species
GAUCAUUACCGAGUUUUCAACUCCCAAAACCCAUGUGAACUUAUACCUUUUACCGUUGCUUCGGCGGGUCUCGGCCCCGGAGCCAGGCUCGCAAGGGCCUGCCCGGAAACAGGCGCCCGCCGGGGGACCUUUUAAAAACUCUUGUAUUUUCUUUACUUUGCAUGUCUGAGUGUGGAAUCAUACAAAAUGAAUCAAAACUUUCAACAACGGAUCUCUUGGUUCUGGCAUCGAUGAARAACGCAGCGAAAUGCGAUAAGUAAUGUGAAUUGCAGAAUUCAGUGAAUCAUCGAAUCUUUGAACGCACAUUGCGCCCGCCAGUAUUCUGGCGGGCAUGCCUGUUCGAGCGUCAUUUCAACCCUCAAGGACCCCCCCGUCUUCUUUUUUCGGGCGGGCUUGGUGUUGGGGACCGGCGAGCUUCGUUGCCCGCCGCCCCCGAAAUGAAUUGGCGGUCUCGUCGCGGCCUCCUCUGCGUAGUAGCACAACCUCGCAACAGGAGCGCGGCGCGGCCACUGCCGUAAAACGCCC